AUUGAACGCUGGCGGCAGGCCUAACACAUGCAAGUCGAACGGUAACAGGAAACAGCUUGCUGUUUCGCUGACGAGUGGCGGACGGGUGAGUAAUGUCUGGGAAACUGCCUGAUGGAGGGGGAUAACUACUGGAAACGGUAGCUAAUACCGCAUAACGUCGCAAGACCAAAGAGGGGGACCCUCGGGCCUCUUGCCAUCGGAUGUGCCCAGAUGGGAUUAGCUUGUUGGUGGGGUAACAGCUCACCAAGGCGACGAUCCCUAGCUGGUCUGAGAGGAUGACCAGCCACACUGGAACUGAGACACGGUCCAGACUCCUACGGGAGGCAGCAGUGGGGAAUAUUGCACAAUGGGCGCAAGCCUGAUGCAGCCAUGCCGCGUGUAUGAAGAAGGCCUUCGGGUUGUAAAGUACUUUCAGCGGGGAGGAAGGGAGUAAAGUUAAUACCUUUGCUCAUUGACGUUACCCGCAGAAGAAGCACCGGCUAACUCCGUG
rnacentral:rRNA from 1 species